rnacentral:tRNA from 1 species
CUCCUCAUAGUUUAACCGGAUAAAACUACCGCCUCCUAAGCGGUUGAUCGGGGUUCGAGUCCCUGUGAGGAGGCCA